UUUCCGUAGGUGAACCAGCGGAAGGAUCAUUAUUGUAUAACCAAUGUGCGAUGGCUCUGGCAAACCCGCAAAGUCGUUAAAGCCCGAUUGCCCUCACACACAUCCAUCUCACCCCCAUGUCCACCACCGCGCUGGUCAGCCUCGGGCUUCUUCUGAAGGGGGCAUACGUUUUGACACAAACUUUUUAUGCAGGGUACACUGUGUUUUGGGUUUUUGGGAGAACGCAAUCGAUACAACGUUCAACAACGGAACUCUUGGCUACCACAUCGUUGAAGAAAG
rnacentral:misc_RNA from 1 species